rnacentral:tRNA from 1 species
ACUAAAAUGGCAGAUAAUAUGCACAAAAUUUAGGAUUUUGCUAUGAGAUAAAAAUCUCUUUUGGAA